rnacentral:lncRNA from 10 species
UCUUUUACCAAAGUCUAAACCUCACAUGAUAAUAUUUUUAUAUACUCUGUAUGAAUAAUUUCUUUUUCUGAAACACUUGAACUGCCAUCUCUAGAGUCAACCUCUGACAAGCAUUAUGAUCAAUGUACUCAGAUGUCAGUACCCCCAAAAGAUAAUCAGUUUAGCCAUUCUUCCUCUAAGUUUUUUGUGCAUACACAGUGAAGUGAAAACAGUCUUUAUCCUGCUUCCUCAGGAAGCCCCCACACCGUUUCCAUGUUCCCAUUUCAUUCCUGGGAACCAAUUUUUAUGGUCUUCAUCAUACAUGUCAAAUUCUGCUAAAUAUUUGCCAACCCUUUAAAUUUAAAUGUUAUAAUAGAGUUCUAGGAGAAAGAUUUAAUUAGGGAAAAAAUGGAUACCUUUUCUACUAUAGUGAAAUCUUGCCAGCCUCAUAAAACCCCAAAUAAUGAUUUAUUUCUCUUAAAAAAUGAGCAACCUGAACCCAAUAACUUUUGCAAGAAUAUGUGGCAAGGAAUUAGGUUUGUUACUCUUAGGUCUCAAAUACCAAAUCUCCUUCUGUGCUUUUUUUGAGGUGGGGGUGAGGAGAUCAUUUUAUUUAAAAAGUUUAGUGAAAAUAAAUUAACGUCAAAGCGGGAUUGUUGAUAAAAUAAUGACAUAAUUCUAAUUAAUUGCUUUAAAAGAGAAAACCUAUAGAUCUAUAAGCCGAAUUUAGCAAGAAUAUUAGUUUUGAAAAUCUAUUCAUUCUUAUUCAUAGCAAUUGCCAAUUUUUGAAAUAUAAUUUGCUUCAUCCAGUCCGUUAUGUAAAGACCUUGGAAGUCA